rnacentral:lncRNA from 1 species
GGCUGUAUACAACAAAGGCUGUAUAUUCUGUACAUUUUUAUGUGCCAUAGGACAAUGUUGGGUGUUGGGGCAAAGCAGCUGGCAGGUGCCUCAUGUAGAUUAAUAUUAAUAUAUCAAUACAUUAUUAUAUAGUUGGCUGCAAAUAAAUCGAUAUAGCAAAUGACUAUCUACAACAAAUUAAUUUUGGUCUUAUUUUAAUUUAGAGGUGUCAAAUAACAAGUCCAUUUUUGUGCAAAAAAACAUGUGUCUCGGCCCUUGAAGUACCAUGAUAAGCAGUAAAAAGCCAUACAAAUAUCACAUAUUCAAAAUAUUAUAAACUUGGAUGAACUAUAAGUACUUCUUAGAUGUGUAGAAUAAGUUGAAAACACAAAUGGUAUAAAGAAUGCAGGAGCAGUUUCUCUGCUCAGGCUAAGGACAGACGUUUGUACAAUUAGAUCUGCCCCAAAAGGAUGCCUCAUUUCAGAGUCCAGAGGUAACUAUCCAUUUCUGCAGGGCCCAGCUGAUGCUCUGUUAGGUUAAAGGUCACCAAUGAAGAGAUGAGAUUCUUGUCUUGUCUGAAUUGAACCUGAAGUGGAUAAAUUCAGGUUCAAUUCUGAGAAUCUAUUAUUAGAUGGAGUGAUUCAUAAGUAUUUGAAUGAUAGAAGCAUAAUAGAUACAAAAUGAGACAUUAGGGAUUAAGAAAGAUGGAGUAUAUUACAAGGGGAGUGGUGUGGGACGGAGGAACUGGUUUCAUCUUGUUCUUUCAAAUAGGCUGUUUUUGGCCUUAAUAUUUAUGCCCUGAUUUGAAACAUAAAUUUCAGAACCCUGAAACUCAAAAGCUUUGGCUGUAUAAG